CAGUAGCCGCGGUAAUACGAGGGGGGCAAGCGUUGUUCGGAAUUAUUGGGCGUAAAGGGAGCGUAGGCGGAUCGUUAAGUUGGGGGUGAAAGCCCGGGGCUCAACCUCGGAAUUGCCUUCAAUACUGGCGAUCUUGAGUAUGGAAGAGGUAUGUGGAACUCCGAGUGUAGAGGUGAAAUUCGUAGAUAUUCGGAAGAACACCAGUGGCGAAGGCGACAUACUGGUCCAUUACUGACGCUGAGGCUCGAAAGCGUGGGGAGCAAACAGGAUUAGAUACCCCGGUAGUCCCUGUCUCUUAUAC
rnacentral:rRNA from 1 species